rnacentral:tRNA from 1 species
ACGUCAUUGGUCGAGCGGAUUAGGCAUCACACUUCUAAUGUGACUUACAGGGGUUCGAAUCCUCUAUGGCGUA